rnacentral:rRNA from 1 species
CCAAUAGCGUAUAUUAAAGUUGUUGCAGUUAAAAAGCUCGUAGUUGAAUUUCGGGGUCUGUCCAUUGGUCGGGCUUCACGGUCCGUACUGGUGUGAUGGGUUCCUACCUUCUGAAUAACCAGCAUGCCAUUCAGUUGGUGCGCCGGGGAAGCAGAGCUAUUACCUUGAAAAAAUUAGAGUGCUUAAAGCAGGCUAGUGCUUGAAUAGAUUAGCAUGGAAUAAUAAAAUAGGACGGCAUGGUUCUAUUUUGUUGGUUUCUAGGAUCACCGUAAUGAUUAAUAGGGAUAGUUGGGGGCAUUAGUAUUCAAUUGUCAGAGGUGAAAUUCUUGGAUUUAUUGAAGACUAACUUCUGCGAAAGCAUUUGCCAAGGAUGUUUUCAUUAAUCAAGAACGAAAGUUAGGGGAUCGAAGGCGAUCAGAUACCGUCGUAGUCUUAACCAUAAACUAUGCCGACUAGGGAUCGGACGAUGAUAAUUUUUUAAUGACUCGUUCGGCGCCUUACG